UCCUACAUUUUGUGCACAGUCCUG
rnacentral:misc_RNA from 1 species